GUCUUUUGUAACUGUUGUUUUCCUGUUCUGUCUUCAAAAAGGAAGGCUUUUGUUAACCAUUAGCCACGGACAAGAGUGUGUCCAUUUCAGCAAAAUUAAUAAGAGAUAGCAUUUUUCUUCCUUCUAAAUGGCCCUGUCAGUAAUUAACAUGGCUUCUCGUUAUUCAGCUUGAAAGGUUUUCCAGGCUCCCCAUGACCUUGCCUGGCUUUGUUAAACUGUGGCCUCCAGCCUGGGAGAGAGACCUAAAUACAGGGAAAGCACUCCUGACACCAGCUCCCCAGAUGCUUCAGAAAUCAGCCCAGGAAUAUUUAUUGAGUGCCUACUGUGUGGGGCUGCCUCAUUGAAACAGACAGUAGGUUCUGAUGGGAGGAACUUUAGAAGAGAAGAUAAAAAGAGGUUUGUUUAAAUGAGUCCUCAAGAUAACAGAGAGCUAUGGUGAUCAGAGGACAAGGGCCAUCCGUGGCUGUGGGGAGUGGGGCUGAGAGUGAGCCAAGGCAGACCCGAGGAAUUCUUACAGGAGGAAACUUUGGGGGAAGCACUCUUGCUGGUAUUCAGAGCACAAAGAAGAUGCAGACCCGCAGCUAAGUUCUCACUCCAAGAAAGGAAAACUGCCUGUUCAAGCUUUGAUGUCACACAGUUUCCUGCUGAGACCCCAGGAAGAUGGCAGAAGUAGGGUGCUUCUUGAACUGACUUCUCGUUUGCACUGGUGAGUACAGAGGUCCUUCAGAGAUGCUCUGGUUUGGGCUGACUGGUUAUUGGUAGCAGCUGUAGCUUGUUUGCCAGUGCAGAGGGUAGAACACAGGGCCUCAGGCGUGGUAGGCACGUGGUCUACUAUAGAGCCAAGCCCAGUGCCUUCAGCAACGCAAAGGGUUAAUAGAGCCACCAUCUUGAAUGAGACUCGUGAGGGAGGAGCUGGCCAGGGAAUUGAGCCAGGAGCAUGAUGUUGUCCACCAGUCUCUAGAAGUGUGCAUGUAAGAAGCCACGAGAGAGAGCGCGCACGGUCAAACCUUUCCUGUUUUCCUCUGGGAUUCAUUUCAUCUCUGACAGAUCUGAAAUCCAAUGUGAAAAUGAGAUUGCUAGUACAUGAAGAACCGAGACUCCACCUUCUAACUUUUACUCUUGUUUGGGUCCUAGCAACAAUGCUUAGAAAAGUUGUGAGCACAUUGAAAUUAAUAUAGAACUGUGACUGGUACUAGAUAGAACCUUCUACACAGUAAAAAACAGAACAGCAUUGCUAUGUGGAAAGUGAAUUUAGUGAGUUCAGGGUCAGUCUGGACUGCAGAGAAAGACCUUAAGUCAAAACCCAAAUAAAUGUGAAAACCAAAACUAAGUUUAAAAAACAAACAAACAAACAAACAAACAAAGCAAAACAAAAAACUAAACCAAAAAACAAACAAACAAACAAACAAACAAACAAACCCCAGUAUAUUCAAGCCAGUGGUGGUAACACCCAGUCCCAGGCCCAGGCCCAGCUACUGUGAAGGCUACUGCAGGAGGAUUGCUGGGGGCCCAGGAGUUCAAAGCCUUCCUGGGCUCAAUCAAACUCCAUCUCAGGGAAAACAGAAAAGUGGUUUAAAAAAAGAGGUAUGGAUUAGGUCUGGCUGCCAAUGUGGACCAGGGUGCAGAAGCUGCUACAAGCAUUUCAGGUCUUUCAUAUACCUCUUUGUGUGUGUGUGUGUGUGUGUGUGUGUGUGUGUGUGUGUGUGUGUGUGUGUGUGUUAGGGUCUCUUUUUCCUGUAGCACAAGCGAGCAAAAAAAAAAAAAAAAAAAAAAAAAAAGCAAAAAACCCUCCUCUUGUCUCAGCCUCUCAGUGCUGAGCUUAAUCCUGUACCAUCAUGUGCUGCUCUGUGGGGCUUGAAGGCUGCAUAUGAAAUAACCUUGCUAGAGUUGGGAAAACACGGUCUGAAUGAUGGUCAACACAGAAACACCCAGUUGGUCAGAGGGGAGAGGUAUGUCAGUAGAAUUCCCCGCUAUAAAUGGGACGUCUGUAUCACACGCCUUUCCCCAAAGAGCAGAAAGAUUCUAAGGAGGACAGAAGCAAACUGUCACCACCAUAGUCAAUGCUCUCGAACAGAACAUGUGUGUGGUACUCCUAAGGAGAAGAAGGAGCAGUGAGUGGGGCCUGCACCACGCAGCCAUUUACAACUGGCCAUUCAGCUGCAGAUUCUCAUCCUCCCCGGCUCUGCUCUGCUGAGGUAAUUGCAUUGACAGGUCAGGCAGGAAAAGGGUUUUCCUAACUCACCCUGGGACAACAGUCAGCUCUUUAUGAUUGAAAGCCGGCCUGUUGGAUUUCAUUCUUCCCCAAAGGUUAUAAGCAAUGCCUUGAAAGACAGACAAAAAGUUGCAUUUGGUGGUCUGAUCCGUAAAUCAAUAUCUGACAACCCUCUCUCCCCAGCAUGUGUAAUGCUCACAAAAUGAGACACGUUUGUAGGCCUCUUGGGGAUCUUUGUUUAAAUGACCUUUUUUUCCCUGUUGACCUGUACUCUCCAUACUGUAUAUCAGAACGCAGAGGCCUUUCUUCUCUUUCCCUUUUAGGAGACUCAUUUACACUUCAUUGAUUCCAUGAAACUCUGGCUUCUGGGUCCUGAGUGGAAGAAAGAGUUUAGUGUUUAAAAUAUGGCUCCUGAAAAAGAGCGUGCCUCAAAAAACUCUCGUCUCUUCUGUGUCUUGCAUAAUUUACAUGAGGUUAGUUAACAUCAAAAAAUUAGUAAAUCUGAUAUCCAAUAAAGACACCUUUGGUUUACUUUCCUAUGAAAAUGUUCACUGCUCUUUCAACUGAAUUUUUUUAAAAUUUUAUUUUAUAUAUGAGUGUUCUAUCUGCAUGUACACCUUCAUGCCAAGUGAGAGCACCAAAACUCAUUAUAGAUGGUUGUGAGUCACCAUGUGAUUGCUGAGAAUUGAAUUCAGGACCUCUGGAAGAGCAGCCACUGCUCUUAACCUCUGAGCCAUCUCUCCACUCCUCAACUGAAUUUUAAAAUCAGCAUAUUUGCUAGAGUAGGGGAUGUCUGUGUUUGUGUAUGCACACAUGUGCAAUAGGGGAGUUUUCUUUAAACAUAUUUAAAUGCCUGUUAGAGUUUUAGGGAUUUAUGUGUUAUAGUAUGAUACCUGUUGCAUACCACAAAGUCAUCAUCAUUGCCUUACAGCAGAACCUACACAACGGAGUCUCUUAUUACUUGUGUAUCUGAAAUUAUUGUUUUCUGUAUGUUUCUGAUGGGCUAGCCAACUAAGAGUUUGCAAUGAACCUCAAUCCUAUCAAAGAGUAAGUGUGAGACCUACUCAGGCCACAUAAACUCCUUUUCAGAGGUUGAUGUGUUGAGAAAGAGUGGUCUCCUCCAAAGAGAUAAAAUCCCAGAGCUGGGAUCUUUUUCCUUACAAUGUAGUAGAAACUACCAGAGAAUAAGAUCAAUGCAAAGGAUCAAAGUUGAUGAAAGGUUGGAUGCAUAUAUGGAUGUACAGAUGGAUUGUAUGCCCAUGUGCAUGGAUAGAUGGAUGAAUGGAUGGGUAGAUGGAAGGAUGGAUGGAUAGGUAGAUAAAUCAGUGGAUGCAUGCAUGGAAACAUAGAAGGAAGAAUGGGUGAGUGGUGAAUGUGUGUGAAUAUAGAUAUAUAAAUAUAUAGUAUGUAUAUUUAUAUGUUAUAUAUAACACAUAUAAUACACACAUAUGACUGGAUAUUGGAUGGCCUAAUAGAUAGACAGAUGGAUGGGUAAGUCAAAAGACAACUGAUGUGGGGUUGGGGAUUUAGCUCAGUGGUAGAGCGCUUGCCUAGAAAGCGCAAGGCCCUGGGUUCGGUCCCCAGCUCUGAAAAAAAAAGAAAAAAGAAAAAAAAAAAGAAGAAAAA